rnacentral:lncRNA from 1 species
GCCAGUUAAGGGAUGGUGGUUCCCCAACCCCUCUGCUUGACUGCAUGAGAAACUUUAGCCCCUUGGCAAGGAUGCCUGCUCCUUUGAAAGAGGAAGUUGAAAUGAGAGAGUAAACUCACUCCCUUUGUCUGACUUAAGCAUGAACCACCUAUGGGAAGAAGCCAGGACAGAUGUGGGAGGCCAUAGCCCUGCCACUGCAGUUGCAAGAGUGCUAUGUUCCAACUGUUCAGGAGAAAAGGGUUCUCAGGAGCAGUCCCACAGGCCACUGGAGGGCAAGAAUGGAUCAAGGCCAAGAAGCUCAGCAAGCCCACCCUCCUUCACCUAUCACCCCUGAGACCUGAAAAAUAGCCUGGCAAGCUGUCUGCAGAGGUCAUGAGCUCCCCACCCCUCGAAAGUCUAGAAGCCUGAGCCCUGGGCAGGAUCUCCCACUGGAUGGGCUUAAACUAGAUACUUUUUCGGUCUUAUUCUAAUAUCUCUGGCUUCUUUUUAUUUUGUUGAUUAAAGAACUUCCAAAUCCAUCAUUGCAUAGACACACUGUGUAUUAUUAUCCCCAUUUUAU